AGGGAAGGUGAGUUUAGGAGUUUUCUUACUCAAUGAUGCUUAACCCGGUAGCAGCGACAGGCCAAAUUUGUGCCAUGAUAUAAACCCCCCAAAAUAGAUGAUCGAUAAACUGAUCAGAAAUGCUUUGAUAUAUAUUAUGAAAUGCUUUGUAUGAGUGAUGAUUUUUUCUCAUUUUUCUCGCUUAGAGGGACCAUUAAGAAACAUGAUCCCCGCUGCUACCGGGUUAACUGAUCAUAUUUUCUCAUGAUGAAGAAAACUUAUAUUGAUGUUUUGAUAAAUUAAGGUGUCUGCUCAGUGCUCACUAUGAGACUAAUUUUUAACAACACCAUAUCUUAUCAGGAUAUGGAAAGAUCACUGAAACUAAAACUUGCUGCACUUCCAACCCAUCACCAAAAUGUAGAAUCACUAAACUAAAAUACUACAGGUAACUCUCGAUUUACGCGAGUAUUGCAUCCUUGAAGAGGUUGCGUAAAUCAAAAACAAUGUAAAUCAAACAAGAGGUAGGUUUCUGUCAAAAAAUAAAUGCUGUAUUUUCCGGCGUAAAUCAAAAACAAUGUAAAUCAAACAAGAGGUAGGUUUCUGUCAAAAAAUAAAUACUGUAUUUUCCGGCGUAAA